ACACUCUAAAAACCGUUGGGUUGUUUUUUCAACCCAACUGCUGGGUUAAGCCAGUUGGGUUAUUUUGUUGGGUUGUUUUAUCAGUGUUGGGUAGUUUUUGUGUAACCCAACUUGUUGGGUUAAAUGUUGGGUAAUUUUGAAGCAGAGCCACCUUAAUAGAUACAUAUAGCUGUUUCUCAAUAUUACUUUCUCUAGUCCACAAAAUGUAUUUUAAAGAUAAGUUCAGGCGAGAAUAUAUAUGUAUAAUGUUCAAAUUUGCAGUCAGUUUGUAAAGUUAACGCCAAUUGUAAAAUUUAAUUACACAAAGUCGGAAUGUUCCCGGCGCGACCACCGGGUGUCAGUGUUGUUCUUCCCCAGAGAGAACUCCUCCCAUCCCCCCACACAGACGUGUCAGCUCAGCUGAACUCCUGGCUCUCACUGCAACGAUACGCGGGAGUUUUACCUCAGGAUUCAUGAACAGUUUUUCAUCGACUUAUUUCUGAUUUAUUUGAAGGAAAAGACCCUGACGGAUAAAAGAUGGAUAAUUUUUUUUCCCGGAGAAGCUAAAACAAUGGUACUUUGAGGUUCUGAUACCAGCUUUUACAAAGUUAUUUACAGAGUUCACAAGACGUCUCUGUGUUAUUCCCUGACCAUGCCGAAAAGCUAUUUGAAACUUGGGCAUUGCAUUUUACAGACAGAAUCCUGCAACUUCCCAGCCAAGAACCAGGAGCACCAACAAAUAACCUCCAGAACCCCAUGAUGAUAUUCCAACUCCUGUCUACAAAAGUGGGAAGAAAAUCUUAAGUCUACAUGUUGGGACCAACAUGGUUGCAUUCUUCUGAGAGGCUGAGGUGACAAAACCAUUCCCAUUUGUCCUUGGCUUGGAAGAUUGAGAUCUCUGCCAUCAAGCCUUCGUUGUUUUUGACAGACAGUCACUCCAGCAAUACACCCUCCUUGGUGAUGUUGACAUGUUUUAAACUUUUUUUAUGUUUUGGACAUUCAUUUUACUAAGCAGUGCACAUCAGUGUGGGUGUUUUUGAAGACUGUUGUUUACAAACUCCCAAGAACAGAAUCCCUUUCUAAG